UGGGCAACCUGCCCCUCUCUCUGGGAUAACCCCCGGGAAACCGGAGCUAAUACCGGAUACGAGUCCGAGCGGCAUCACGCGGACUGGAAAGUUUUUCGGCUAAGGAUGGGCUCGCGGCCUAUCAGCUUGUUGGUGGGUAAUGGCCUACCAAGGCGACGACGGGUAGCCGACCUGAGAGGGUGAUCGGCCACAUUGGAACUGAGACACGGUCCAGACUCCGUACGGGAGCAG
rnacentral:rRNA from 1 species